rnacentral:rRNA from 1 species
UACGUAGGGUGCAAGCGUUGUCCGGAAUUAUUGGGCGUAAAGAGCUCGUAGGCGGUUUGUUGCGUCGGCUGUGAAAACCUGAGGCUCAACCUCAGGCCUGCAGUCGAUACGAGCAGACUAGAGUGUUGCAGGGGAGACUGGAAUUCCUGGUGUAGCGGUGAAAUGCGCAGAUAUCAGGAGGAACACCGGUGGCGAAGGCGGGUCUCUGGGCAACAACUGACGUGGAGGAGCGAAAGCGUGGGGAGCGAACAGG